rnacentral:lncRNA from 1 species
UUAUCUUUAACUGUAACAGCUUUGUAACAUCAACAUACCACCACGAUUUGGGUCCACAAACUAGAGCAAAACUUAAGCUAGUAUAUAAUUAAUGACCAACAGUGCAUGAAUCCACUAUGUUUAGCAAGUUUGGACUCAGAUCUUAAAACGGAAAUAAAUAAACACGUAAAACCUGAACUAGAAGAAACAUCAAUUCUAAACUAUCAUGUAAUCUACAUUGUGCAACAUGCCAAUCACUGGGUUACAUGUUCAAAGUUGGGGAUAAGAAACAUAACUUCCUAACAAAACUUGAAAUAACUCAACAAGCUACACGCAUCCAAAAUUGCUACUCAAAACUCCAUAACUCUAUUUGAUUCCAUGCCAAAGCUUUACAUUGACUUGGAAACAGAAGCGUGUACCUGAUUACAACAAUAAACAAAAAUAUGAGUUGAGGAGACAAAAACAACAGCAAAACAAAAUAAUGGAACUCAACAAACAGCAAGAGCACUCCCAGAUUCAAUCAAAUACCCAGUAGAACCAGCUCAAACCAAUGAAACAAUGACUUAAACUCAGAAAUGGACCCCAACUAUAAAAGAAGAACAAGUUCAAGCCAUUUCCCACUACCAUUGGACCAAAGAUUGUCUUAUCAAAUUGAAAUUUCAAAACUCAGGACGAGAUCUCAAUAGAACAAUGAUUGCUUCAAUUUUGUUUUUAUCCGUCUGUGUUUUUUU